rnacentral:rRNA from 1 species
UUAAUCUUAGUUAAAAAAGUGCCAGCAGCUGCGGUUAGACUUUAAAGAUAAAUUUAAUAAAUAUUUUAAUAAAUAUAUAAAUGAUUGAAAUUAUUUAGUUGUAAAAAUUAAUUAUUUAAUUAUUUAUUAAAUUUUUGAAAAAUUAAAAAAAACUAGGGUUAGAAGCCUAUUAUUAAUUAAGUUAAUUAAUUUAAGUAUUAAAAGAAUAAUCUCUAAACUUAAAGAACAUGGCAGUAUUUUACUCCUUGCAGAGGAGCUUGAAUAUUAAUUAGAUAAUCCUCUCUAUUUCUUACUUAAUUUUAUUUUGUGUGUGGUUGUUAAAAUAAAUAAUAUAUUAUAAAUUUUAAAUCAGAUGACAUGUAGAAAUAAUUAAGGUAAUUUUAGCUACAAUUAAUUGUUUUACCUGAUAGAAGAAGGAUUUGCUAGUAAAAAUUCAAAAAAUUUUGAAGAGGUUUUAAAAUAAGUACAUAUUGUCCGUCACUCUCCUAAGGAGAUAAGUCGUAGCAAAGUAAAAAUUUUUGAAAAAGUUUUUUA